rnacentral:tRNA from 1 species
GGAAAAGUGGCAGAGUGGUUAUUGCAUUUGUUUUGAAAACAAUGAUUAAUAGUAAUUCGUAGGUUCAAAUCCUAUCUUUUCUU